rnacentral:misc_RNA from 1 species
GAUGAAGAACGUAGCGAAAUGCGAUAAGUAAUGUGAAUUGCAGAAUUCAGUGAAUCAUCGAAUCUUUGAACGCACAUUGCGCCCUCUGGUAUUCCGGGGGGCAUGCCUGUUCGAGCGUCAUUAUAACCACUCAAGCUCUCGCUUGGUAUUGGAGUUCGCGAUCUCGCGGCUCCUAAAAUCAGUGGCGGUGCCUGUCGGCUCUACGCGUAGUAAUACUCCUCGCGAUUGAGUCCGGUAGGUUUACUUGCCAGCAACCCCCAAUUUUUACAGGUUGACCUCGGAUCAGGUAGGGAUACCCGCUGAACUUAAGCAUAUCAAUAAGCGUAGGA